GGGAUUACGGUGGAUACCUAGGCACCCAGAGACGAGGAAGGGUGUGGUAAUCAAUGAAAUUCUUCAGGGAGUUGAAAAUGAGCAUAGAUCUAGAUAUUCCCGAAUAGGUCAACCUUUUUAACUGCUACUUAAUCCAUGGGCAGGCAAGAGACAACUUGGAGAACUAAAAAAUCUUAGUAGCCAGAGGAAUAGAAAGCAAAAGAGAUUCCCAUAGUAGCGGCGAGCGAAAUGGGAGCAGCCUAAACCAUGAAAAUGGGGUUGUGGGAGACCACAAUAUAAGCUCUGUGCUGCUAGGCGAAGUGGUUGAGUCUUGCACCCUAGAUGGUGAGAGUCCAGUAGCCAAAAGAAUCAUUGGGUUACGCUCUAGCCCGAGUAGCAUGGGGCACAUGGAAUCCCAUGUGAAUCAACAAGGACCACCUUGCAAGGCUAAAUACUCCUGGGUGACUGAUAGCGAAGUAGUACCAUGAGGGAAAGGUGAAAAGAACCCCCAUCGGGGAGUGAAAUAGAACAUGAAACCGUAAGCUCCCAAUAAGUGGGAGGAAAAUGAUAUCUCUGACCGCGUGCUUGUUGAAGAAUGAGCUGACGAAUUAUAGGCAGUGGCUUGGUUAAGGGAACCCACCGGAGCUGUAGCGAGAGCGAGUCUUCAUGGGGAAAUUGUCACUGCUUAUGGACCUGAACCUAGGUGAUCUAUCCAUGACCAGGAUGAAGAUUGGGUGAAGCUAAGUGGAGGUCCAAACCAACUGAUGUUGAAAAAUCAGUGGAUGAGUCGUGGUUAGGGGUGAAAUUCCACUUGAACCCAGAGCUAGCUGGUUCUCCCCGAAAUGCGUUGAGGUGCAGUAGUUGAAUGGACCAUCUAGGGGUAAAGCACUAUUUCGGUACGAGCCAUGAGAGCGGUACCAAAUCAAGGAAAACUCUAAAUACUAGAUUUCCCCAAUAAAAGGGGUAAAGGUCAGCCAAUGAAACAAUGGGGGAUAAGCUUCAUCGUCAAGAGGGAAACAACCUAGAUCAUCAGCUAAGGCCCCUAAAUGACUGCUCAAUAAAUAAGGAAGUACGAGUGCAAAGACAAAGAGGAGGUUUGCCUAGAAGUAGCCAACCUUGAAAGAGUGCGUAAUAGAUCAUUGAUCAAGCACUCUUGUGAUGAAUAUGAAUAGGACUAAGUGAAUUGCCGAAGCUAUGGGAUGUAAAAAUACAUCGGUAGGGGAGUGUUUCGCCUCAGAGGGAAGCACCGACGUGAGCAGGUGUGGACGAAGAGAAAGAAAGAAUGCUGGUUUGAUUAACGCAAACAUUGGUGAGAAUCCAAUGCCUCGAAAACCUAAGGGUUCCUUCUCACGGUUCAUCCAUGGAGGGUGAGUCAUGGCAUAGAUCAGGCCAAAAGGCGUAGUUGAUGGACAAUAGGUUAAUAUUCCUGUACUACUCCUUGUUGGUCUCGAGGGAUAGAGGAGGCUAGGUUAGCUGAAAGAUGGUUAUCGAUUCAUGGACGCAAGGUGACCCUCUAUACAUUGAUUCAAAGGUAAAAGAAGAAUCAAAUAUAGGUGUGUACAAGGUGAGGUUGCGGGUGGAUAUU
rnacentral:ncRNA from 1 species